rnacentral:rRNA from 1 species
GAUGAACGCUAGCGGCAGGCUUAAUACAUGCAAGUCGUGGGGCAGCAGGUUUGUAGCAAUACAGAUGCUGGCGACCGGCAAACGGGUGCGGAACACGUACACAACCUUCCUUUAAGUGGGGAAUAGCCCAGAGAAAUUUGGAUUAAUACCCCGUAACAUUAUGAUGUGGCAUCACAUUAUAAUUAUAGCUACGGCGCUUAAUGAUGGGUGUGCGGCUGAUUAGGUCGUUGGCGGGGUAACGGCCCACCAAGCCUGCGAUCAGUAACUGGUGUGAGAGCACGACCAGUCACACGGGCACUGAGACACGGGCCCGACUCCUACGGGAGGCAGCAGUAAGGAAUAUUGGGCAAUGGAGGAAACUCUGACCCAGCCAUGCCGCGUGGAGGAUGAAGGUCCUCUGGAUUGUAAACUUCUUUUAUAUGGGACGAAAAAGGGUAUUUCUAGGUCAACUGACGGUACCAUAUGAAUAAGCACCGGCUAACUCCGUGCCAGCCGCCGCUGUAAAAC